AUACGUAGGGGGCGAGCGUUGUCCGGAAUGAAUGGGCGUAAAGGGCGCGUAGGCGGCCCGGUAAGUCUGGAGUGAAAGUCCUGCUUUUAAGGUGGGAAUUGCUUUGGAUACUGUCGGGCUUGAGUGCAGGAGAGGUAAGUGGAAUUCCCAGUGUAGCGGUGAAAUGCGUAGAGAUUGGGAGGAACACCAGUGGCGAAGGCGACUAACUGGACUGUAACUGACGCUGAGGCGCGAAAGUGUGGGGAGCAAACAGGAUUAGAUACCCUGGUAGUCCACACUGUAAACGAUGAAUGCUAGGUGUAGGGGGUAUCGACCCCUUCUGUGCCGCAGUUAACACAAUAAGCAUUCCGCCUGGGGAGUACGGCCGCAAGGUUGAAACUCAAAUGAAUUGACGGGG
rnacentral:rRNA from 1 species